rnacentral:rRNA from 1 species
UACGUAGGCAGCAAGCGUUGUUCGGAGUUACUGGGCGUAAAGGGUGCGUAGGCGGCUUUUUAAGUUUGGUGUGAAAUCUCCCGGCUCAACUGGGAGGGUGCGCCGAAUACUGAGAGGCUAGAGUGUGGGAGAGGAAAGUGGAAUUCCUGGUGGAGCGGUGAAAUGCGUUGAUAUCCUAAGGAACACCGGGUGGCGAAAGCGGCUCACUGGAUCUCUUCUGACGCUGAGGCACGAAAGCUAGGGUAGCGAACGGG